GACGAAGGGGGCUAGCGUUGUUCGGAAUUACUGGGCGUAAAGCGCGCGUAGGCGGUCUUUCAAGUCAGGAGUGAAAGCCCCGGGCUCAACCCGGGAAUAGCUCUUGAUACUGUUGGACUUGAGUCCGGGAGAGGAUAGUGGAAUUCCCAGUGUAGAGGUGAAAUUCGUAGAUAUUAGGAAGAACACCAGUGGCGAAGGCGGCUCACUGGUCCGGUACUGACGCUGAGGUGCGAAAGCGUGGGGAGCAAACAGG
rnacentral:rRNA from 1 species